ACACUAAAAAUGCAAUUCAUUAUGUAUAUGCAUAUAUCAUUUUUGUUUUAUUUUGUGCAGAAUUGGAAUUGUGUGUAUUAAAUGUAGUCGAUGUGGACCUGAAGUUAUCACACACUGUCAUCAUUAGCCGCACUUACUACCAACUCCUUAAACAAUCCUCCUGUCUCAAUGUCACCAUCUUUAUUUAUGUUCUUUUUCCAGAAAAAAAAAACACAAAUUAUACCUUAGAUAUUAGACUGGAUCGUACAUUGCAU
rnacentral:lncRNA from 1 species